rnacentral:rRNA from 1 species
GUGGCAUAGCAAGCAAAUAGUGAAAUCGUGUGGCUCAACCAUACAUCCAUUAUUUGAACUGCUAAGCUAGAAGAUGAGAGAGGUUAUUGGAAUUCCCAGUGUAGGAGUGAAAUCCGUAGAUAUUGGGAGGAACACCGAUGGCGUAGGCAGGUAACUGGCUCAUUCUUGACACUAAGGCACGAAAGCGUGGGGAGCAAACGGGAUUAGAUACCCCGGUAGUCCACGCCGUAAACUAUGGAUGCUAGCUGUUAGGAGUAUCGACCCUUCUAGUAGCGAAGCUAACGCGUUAAGCAUCCCGCCUGUGGAGUACGGUCGCAAGACUAAAACAUAAAGGAAUUGACGGGGACCCGCACAAGCGGUGGAGCGUGUUGUUUAAUUCGAUGGUAAGCGAAGAACCUUACCCAGGCUUGACAUCCUUGGAAACACUGCGAAAGCAGAGCGUGCCUUCGGGAGCCAAGUGACAGGUGAUGCAUGGCCGUCGUCAGCUCGUGUCGUGAGAUGUUAGGUUAAGUCCUUCAACGAGCGCAACCCUUUUAGUUAGUUGUAUUUUUCUAGCUAGACUGCCCUGGUAACAGGGAGGAAGGAGGGGAUGAGGUCAGGUCAGUAUUUCCCUUACGUCUGGGGCUACAAACACGCUACAAUGGCCAGUACAAAGGGCAGCCAAGUCGCAAGACGGAGCAAAUCCCAUCAAAGCUGGUCUCAGUUCGGAUAGCA